rnacentral:snRNA from 14 species
AUACUUACCUGGCAGGGGAAACACUGUGACAACCAAGGCAGCUUUCCUAGUUGCAGCCGAGGACAACUACUCUCCUGGCAUGGGGGUAGGAACUGUGGAGGUAAUGUAUAGUUAAUCUCCCACUUAGCUUCUGGAGUGGAAAGAUCUUGGCUUUCUGCCCACUUUAUGGAAAUGGGAGACUCCUCCCUAGCUUGUUCCUG